CCUAACACAUGCAAGUCGAACGGUAACAGGAAGCAUCUUGCUGCUUCGCUGACGAGUGGCGGACGGGUGAGUAAUGUCUGGGAAGCUGCCUGAUGGAGGGGGAUAACUACUGGAAACGGUAGCUAAUACCGCAUAAUGUCGCAAGACCAAAGAGGGGGACCUUCGGGCCUCUUGCCAUCGGAUGUGCCCAGAUGGGAUUAGCUUGUUGGUGGGGUAACGGCUCACCAAGGCGACGAUCCCUAGCUGGUCUGAGAGGAUGACCAGCCACACUGGAACUGAGACACGGUCCAGACUCCUACGGGAGGCAGCAGUGGGGAAUAUUGCACAAUGGGCGCAAGCCUGAUGCAGCCAUGCCGCGUGUAUGAAGAAGGCCUUCGGGUUGUAAAGUACUUUCAGCGGGGAGGAAGGGAGUAAAGUUAAUACCUUUGCUCAUUGACGUUACCCGCAGAAGAAGCACCGGCUAACUCCGUGCCAGCAGCCGCGGUAAUACGGAGGGUGCAAGCGUUAAUCGGAAUUACUGGGCGUAAAGCGCACGCAGGCGGUUUGUUAAGUCAGAUGUGAAAUCCCCGGGCUCAACCUGGGAACUGCAUCUGAUACUGGCAAGCUUGAGUCUCGUAGAGGGGGGUAGAAUUCCAGGUGUAGCGGUGAAAUGCGUAGAGAUCUGGAGGAAUACCGGUGGCGAAGGCGGCCCCCUGGACGAAGACUGACGCUCAGGUGCGAAAGCGUGGGAGCAAACAGGAUUAGAUACCCUGGUAGUCCACGCCGUAAACGAUGUCGACUUGGAGGUUGUGCCCUUGAGGCGUGGCUUCCGGAGCUAACGCGUUAAGUCGACCGCCCUGGGGAGUACGGCCGCAAGGUUAAAACUCAAAUGAAUUGACGGGGGCCCGCACAAGCGGUGGAGCAUGUGGUUUAAUUCGAUGCAACGCGAAGAACCUUACCUGGUCUUGACAUCCACGGAAGUUUUCAGAGAUGAGAAUGUGCCUUCGGGAACCGUGAGACAGGUGCUGCAUGGCUGUCGUCAGCUCGUGUUGUGAAAUGUUGGGUUAAGUCCCGCAACGAGCGCAACCCUUAUCCUUUGUUGCCAGCGGUCCGGCCGGGAACUCAAAGGAGACUGCCAGUGAUAAACUGGAGGAAGGUGGGGAUGACGUCAAGUCAUCAUGGCCCUUACGACCAGGGCUACACACGUGCUACAAUGGCGCAUACAAAGAGAAGCGACCUCGCGAGAGCAAGCGGACCUCAUAAAGUGCGUCGUAGUCCGGAUUGGAGUCUGCAACUCGACUCCAUGAAGUCGGAAUCGCUAGUAAUCGUGGAUCAGAAUGCCACGGUGAAUACGUUCCCGGGCCUUGUACACACCGCCCGUCACACCAUGGGAGUGGGUUGCAAAAGAAGUAGGUAGCUUAACCUUCGGGAGGGCGCUUACCACUUUGUGAUUCAUGACUGGGGUGAA
rnacentral:rRNA from 1 species